rnacentral:lncRNA from 1 species
UGUAGCGUCAUGCAUCGCGUUUCUUUCCCGCUUUCUCUUUGUUGAUGUAUGAUGUACUAUAUAGUUUGUGAUAUAUAAGGUUUUAUUAUUAUAAGUUACUAUUUUUCUAAUAAAUGAUCUUUAUCUCGAAGGCACUAUUCAAUUUUUUUCACCAGAAUUGAGGAUAGAACCUAAAUUACCCCUAUUAUACGUCAGUAGGUGAGGAAACGUGGUUGGGAGAUGGUUGGAGUGGAAUAAAAAGUGAGAAUAAAAGAGAAAGGGGCUUCGAGGAUUGCAUCGAGCAGAAUGAAACUGCGAGCGACAGAUUGACCAUAAAAUUAAUAUUAUUCAACUUACAAAAAAGGAUUGAAAUCGUCAAUAUAAAAUAUAAAAUUAUACAAUUGGAUAUUCAUAUAUUUAUCACAUGUCUAUUAUUGUAAAUGCAAAGAUUUUUCAAAUGGAAACGGAUAUUCAAAUUAAACUCUGAUUGCUUUUACUUUUUUUGAAAUAUGGUUGAAUAAUUUAGAAAAUAACAAUAAAUGAUAUUCAAUCAAAUAUCGGAAAGAAAACACUUAUGUUAAAAGCAUUGUGUUAAAAUCUAAAAUACGACAAAAUCUUGAGUAACCUGAAAAAGAUGUUUUAUCUUUCGCAACUUUCGAAGAAGAUCAAAAUGAACAGAAACAUGGUUCUCUACUAAAAUGAUUGAUGAUCAAAUGGGAGAAGAAAAGAAGCAGAUCAAUUUUAUAUCAUUUACGAAACAGUUUUGUGAAGUUCAAAAGAAAUUUCAGACAUUAAAAAAUUUAUU